AAAGUUUACUCCGGUCUCACAUUGAAGUCUGGCGCCUGGCCCCACACAUGCAUCUGAACCGGAUUAAGGGAGCUUGAUCCCAGAUUUAGAUCCCGACAGUCGAGAAACGACCAGGAAGCUGGCUGGCUUGGGGGGAUAAUGUUCCUAAAGGAACCCUGAGACCAAUUGCUUCCCACUGACAAAUCCACGGGAUCUUCGGGCCUUGAGCUAUCAGAGGAGCCUAUGUCGUGUCAACUGAGUGGUGAGGUAAUGGCUCAUUGAGGUGACCAUCCUGCCCUGGUUUGAGAGGAUAAUCCUGCCCUGUGGACUGGAUUCAUGAAUCAGACUCCUACCGGAGGGAGGCGUGUUGAAUAUUGGACAAUCUGCCAAUUCCUGAUUCACUGAUGCCGUGCGUGUGAA
rnacentral:rRNA from 1 species